AGGCAAGAUGUUGGCAUAGCUGUUUCGAUUGAACAGUCAGCUGUGUCCUCAUAUUGCCCUU
rnacentral:pre_miRNA from 1 species